CCCCCCCCCCCCCCCCCCCCCCCCCCCCCUUCCCCCCCGGGCCGGGGCCGCCCCCAAAACUUGGGGGGUUCGCUCCUCGCCCCCUCCGCUGCUCCUUUUCUUGUCCCUCUCUCUGCCUCUGCUCGCUCCUUUUCCGCUCGUUUUUAAUUUGGUUUUUUCUCCUUUCUCCCUUUUCUCCCUCUUUUACUUUCCCCUUUUCUCUUCCCCUCCUCUCGCUCUUUUCCUUCCCAUUUUUGUUCUUUUUUUUCCCUCUUUCCCCUUUUCUUGGUUUUUUCCCCCCUUUUCUCUUCCUCUCUUCUCGUUCUUUUUCUUUUCUGCCCAUUUCUAAUUUGUUUUUUUUUCUUCUUUCCCUCUUUCCUUUCUCUUUUACUUUUCCCUUUUCUCUUUUACUUUUCCCUUUUCUCUUUCACUCUUCUCGCUUUUUUCUUCCCAUUUUUAUUCUUUUUUCCCCUCUUUCCCCUUUUCUCGCUCUUUUUUGUCCCCUUUCUCUGCCUUUCUCUCUUUCCCCCUUUUCUUACUCUUUUACUUUUCCCUUUCUCUCCCUCUUUUCGCUCUUAUUCUUUUUUAUUUCCCGAUUGUUUCCUUGCUUUUGUCCUUUCCCUUUUCUCGCUCCUUUUUUUUUCCUUUCUCUCUCUCUCUUCUCGCUCUUCUUUUCUUCCCAUUUUUCUGGUUUUUUUUCCACUUUCUCCCUUUCUCGCUCUUUUCUUCUCCUCCCCUUUUAUUUUCUUUCCCUCUUUUCACUUUUUUAACUCUCCUCCCCUUCUCACUCUUUUUCUUUUUCUUCCAUUUUUUUCUUCUCUGUCCCCUUUCCUGCUCCUUUUUCCCUUUCUCCCCCUUUUUCCUCUUUUUCCCCCUCCCCUCUCCUUUUUUAUCCUUUCCCUCAUUUCUCCCUUUUUCUUUUAUUUCCCUUUUUUCCUUCCCUCUUUUCCCUCUCCAGUUCUAAUUUUCUUUUUUCCUUCCCUUCUUUCCCUUCCUUUUCAUUCCUUUCUUUUUCUUUCUUUUUCACCUUUUUUCUUCUCCCUCUCUUUUCUUCCUCCCCCUUUUUCCCACUCCCUUUUUCCACUUUAUUCCCUUUUUCUCCCUUUUUCCCCAUUUUCUCCCUUUUUUCUCAUUUUUUCCCAUUUUCCCUCCCCUCCCGCAGGGUUUGGAUCCGCGCCGGGUGCGAGGGAGGCUCCGAAAGCCGCAAAAAUCCCGGUUUUAAUCAAUAUUUUAAUUACUCUGAUAAUUCUAAUUAAUCAUUCCGCCCGUUCCCAUCCCUGAAAAUCUUCUGGCGGCUCCACAAAACCUCAGG
rnacentral:lncRNA from 12 species